rnacentral:rRNA from 1 species
CCAACAGGGAUUGCCCCAGUAACGGCGAGUGAAGCGGCAGCAGCUCAAAUUUGAAAUCUGGUCCCUCCGGGGCCCGAGUUGUAGUUUGUAGAGGAUGCUUCGGGUGCGGUGCCGGUCUAAGUUCCUUGGAACAGGACGUCAUAGAGGGUGAGAAUCCCGUAUGUGACUGGCGACCAAGCCUAUGUGAAGCUCCUUCGACGAGUCGAGUUGUUUGGGAAUGCAGCUCUAAAUGGGUGGUAAAUUUCAUCUAAAGCUAAAUACCGGCCAGAGACCGAUAGCGCACAAGUAGAGUGAUCGAAAGAUGAAAAGCACUUUGGAAAGAGAGUUAAAAAGUACGUGAAAUUGUUGAAAGGGAAGCGCUUGCGACCAGACUUGCCCGCGGGUGAUCAGCCGUUAUUUUUACCGGUGCACUCGCCCGUGGCCAGGCCAGCAUCGGUUCGGGCGGUUGGAUAAAGGCCCGGGGAAUGUAGCUCCCUCCGGGGAGUGUUAUAGCCCGGGGUGCAAUGCGGCCAGCCUGGACCGAGGACCGCGCUCCGGCUAGGAUGCUGGCGUAAUGGUUGCAAGCGACCCGUCUUGAAACACGGACCAAGGAGUCUAACAUCUAUGCGAGUGUUUGGGUGUCAAACCCAUGCGCGCAAUGAAAGUGAACGGAGGUGGGAACCUUUCAGGGCGCACCAUCGACCGAUCCUGAUGUCUUCGGAUGGAUUUGAGUAAGAGCAUAGCCGUUGGGACCCGAAAGAUGGUGAACUAUGCGUGGAUAGGGUGAAGCCAGAGGAAACUCUGGUGGAGGCUCGCAGCGGUUCUGACGUGCAAAUCGAUCGUCAAAUCUGCGUAUAGGGGCGAAAGACUAAUCGAACCAUCUAAACCCGCCUAACUACUAGAUGGGAUACGGGCCUGAAGCCCUGAAGUAGUCCCCGGGCGCGCACGGAGCGCCCGGGGGCGACACUGCCGGUCUAUCGGGGAAGCCUCCUGGCCACCCGCAGUGAGCCGCGGGCUCAUUCACAGGCUAAGUGGCGGUGGCCGCUCCCCGGAACCUCGGGGUGCGGUUAGGAUAUAGUCGGACCCUCCCCGAACGGGAGGCGUUUUUUGAGUAGCUGGUUUCAGCCGAAGUUUCCCUCAGGAUAGCAGUAACGUUUUCAGUUUUAUGAGGUAAAGCGAAUGAUUAGAGGCCUUGGGGUUGAAACAACCUUAACCUAUUCUCAAACUUUAAAUAUGUAAGAAGUCCUUGUUGCUUAGUUGAACGUGGACAUUUGAAUGCACCGUUACUAGUGGGCCAUUUUUGGUAAGCAGAACUGGCGAUGCGGGAUGAACCGAACGCGAGGUUAAGGUGCCGGAAUGCACGCUCAUCAGACACCACAAAAGGUGUUAGUUCAUCUAGACAGCCGGACGGUGGCCAUGGAAGUCGGAACCCGCUAAGGAGUGUGUAACAACUCACCGGCCGAAUGAACUAGCCCUGAAAAUGGAUGGCGCUCAAGCGUGCUACCCAUACCUCGCCGCCAGGGUAGAAACGACGCCCUGGCGAGUAGGCUGACGUGGGGGUCGGUGACGAAGCCUUGGGAGUGAUCCCGGGUCGAACGGCCCCCAGUGCAGA